GUCGGCUAUGGUGAAACGGUGCCUCAAACCGUGCUCGGCAAGCUGGUGGGGUCUCUCUGCGCCAUCACGGGUGUGCUAACAAUUGCCCUUCCCGUUCCCGUAAUCGUGUCGAAU
rfam:Folsomia candida strain VT population Fcan01_Sc002, whole genome shotgun sequence.